UACGUAGGGGGCGAGCGUUGUCCGGAUUUACUGGGCGUAAAGCGCGUGUAGGCGGCCCGUUAAGUGGGGUGUGAAAGCCCGGGGCUCAACCCCGGGACGCCGCUUCAAACUGGCGGGCUUGAGGACGGAAGAGGGGAGUGGAAUUCCAGGUGUAGCGGUGAAAUGCGUAGAUAUCUGGAGGAACACCGGUGGCGAAGGCGGCAUUCUGGACCGAUAUUGACGCUGAGGAGCGAAAGCCAGGGGAGCAAACGGG
rnacentral:rRNA from 1 species